UGCAGAUGAAUCCACUCCAGCUUUUCCGUCUCGCAGCUGCUCGCUGUGAAAUUCAAUUAAUGACUCCGCUUCCCAGUUCUCUCUCCAGGGCACAUCUUCCGGCCCGCUCGCCCUCUGCUAGAAAUAGGAAAAUGCUAUAAUAACACAACACAAGAAAAAAAAAACACAGAGGCAACUUUGAUCACGCAUGCUCCCUUGGCGUCCAGCUCUUUUUUCCCCCACCACAUCAUUUCUCCUAAGUUGGAAAGUCAAGGAAAAGCCCGAGCGAAGUGUUGGCCACAGUUAAACCAAUCAUUCGGGGAAAGCCAUCUCAUAUUUAAAAUGCCUGUGGUAUCAAGGUGAAGAUUGAUUGGCUACAGCGCUCACAAACAAGUGACGAGGAUUCGACUGGACAUUUGUGAAAUUCUGGGACAGAAAGCGUUUCUCGUGUGUCCAUGUGGUGGGCAAGGGGAGACGUGCCCUCCAGCCCUUUGAAACACGAGGCUUCAGAGAUAACAUUUCACACCCAAUAGCGGUGCCCAACCAUGCAGCCCACAUGAAAUAAGCCCUCGGCCUUUAGUUUUGGCUUUCAUUUUUUUUUCAGGCUGUUGACAGCCGUUUCAGAAUGUGCUGGAAAAUGCAUCUGAAACCGCACACUGCUGUAAACAUAUCUGAAACAACCCACUCCUAUGACAGUCCCUGUCUUUGGGUACACUGCAGAUACAUGCAAAAGAGAUCAGACAAAAAAAAAAACAAAAACAACAAAAAAAACAGAGAAAGAGAGAGAGAGAGAUAAUAAAAACAUCAAUGUCUGCUAAUUGGCCGGGUGCACAGUAACUUACUGUAACUGGAAUUUAACUUCUGGCUCUGUCUUCGGUUUGAAGAGCAAUUUCCUUGACAUGACUUGCGCUGUUUCAUGGCCUUGCCUUUGCCUGUGUAUCACAUAAUUCUACCAGCAACUACGCACAAACUAAAUUUCAUAGAAAGCCUUCAAAAAUACACUUUAAAAUACGAAGUUGUGCAGUUUACAUUGUAAUCAAUUCAUUAAUAACAAGUUGGUGUAUCGGAAUUUAGUGCUCGACUCAACUCUUUAAACAUCCAGCAAG
ensembl:lncRNA